GACGAACGCUGGCGGCGUGCUUAACACAUGCAAGUCGAACGGAAAGGCCCUGCUUUUGUGGGGUGCUCGAGUGGCGAACGGGUGAGUAACACGUGAGUAACCUGCCCUUGACUUUGGGAUAACUUCAGGAAACUGGGGCUAAUACCGGAUAGGAGCUCCUGCUGCAUGGUGGGGGUUGGAAAGUUUCGGCGGUUGGGGAUGGACUCGCGGCUUAUCCGCUUGUUGGUGGGGUAGUGGCUUACCAAGGCUUUGACGGGUAGCCGGCCUGAGAGGGUGACCGGCCACAUUGGGACUGAGAUACGGCCCAGACUCCUACGGGAGGCAGCGGUGGGGAAUAUUGCACAAUGGGCGGAAGCCUGAUGCAGCAACGCCGCGUGCGGGAUGACGGCCUUCGGGUUGUAAACCGCUUUCGCCUGUGACGAAGCGUGAGUGACGGUAAUGGGUAAAGAAGCACCGGCUAACUACGUG
rnacentral:rRNA from 1 species